GAUGGAUGGAUGGAUGGAUGGAUGGAUGGAUAAAUGGAGGGAUGCAUGAUGAAUUUCUCCCUUGUUCCCAGCCUAGUCCUAGAAUAUGUUGCCUCUUCUCAAAAAUAAGGUACCACAAAGCCUCUGGUGACGGUGGAGCAAAGGAAUAGAUGGUGAAUGUCUCAUACCCACUUCGGAUCCAGAACAGGCCUAGGAGAGACUCAGGGACACGGCUUCCCCUGAACGCGGAUCCUAGAGGCCAGGCAGAAGCAGCAUGGGUUUCCACUCACACGGUAGGCGGCUGUGCAAUUUCGUCUGGAGUCCCCAGACCCCUCCUCAUCCUUCCCAGGGUUGCUCUGAGGCCAUUCCUUGUCAUCUAGGAGGGGUCUACAUAAAAGCAUUUAUAAACACCUCCAAAUGGGAGCCAGGCGUGCCCACCUUUGGAGCACUUUUCUCUACUGCAAAUUUAUCUACUGCUCGUGAAAUCUCUGGAUUUAACUCUGAUGAAAGACUGGAGGCUGAAGGAGAACUUCAAUAUCAUAUAUUUUAAAGGUUGAUUCACAGUUUGGAGCAAGAAUUAAAGAACCACGAACUUCAAGGUAAAACGGGCAACGGCGUUGGGGCAAGCCUCUCUGCAUCUGCGUGUCCAGCCUCUCCUGCGUGCCAGAAGUUCCCAGGCAGGAGUGUGGUGGGACAUCCGGCUGGGGUGAUGUAAAAUUCUCAAACAAUGAGAUAGAUAAAAAGUACGCAGCCAAAAAGUUCAAGAAGAAGUGUUAUGGAGAUGGAGCAGGCCCUUCGUAAAAACACGAUGUUGGUUUUCUGGAUUUUGGAGGCCUCACAAAACCCGGAUCAGACUCGCCCACUGCCCUGUGUCUGCCCUCCCGACCGCCUCUCCUGCCCAGCAGGGAUGAGGGUGGCAGUGGUGCUGUGUGGAGGGUGGCGGGAGGACCUGGAAGACUGCGACCAGUGAGCCGGGAGGCCUUGGGACAGCCUCUCUCUGAAUCAUCCUGUGCACUGCCGGGUGUGACAGAGGCUCCUAGAAUCCUGUCUCAAGUGGCCGCCUUCACAGAGGGAGUCACUGACGUCCCUGCUCAGCGCAGCCCUGGCAUGUGGGGGUCCCUCUACUCAUGAGAAACCCCCACCCAAUCACCGUGAGGUGUGUGACCCAUGCUCACAUCCAGGGGCCACUCAUUCAUUCAGGAAACAUUGGCCGAGCCCUCAGCAGGGGGCGGUGCUGGAUGCCGGGAUGUAGAGAGUGGGGUGGGACAAGGACUUGGUUGUGAGACGUCCCAGUCCGGGGAAGGACUAAGAGAAGGUGACAUGGACAGUCUAGACUACCCGUCAUUGGUUCUCCACUGGGGGCAGUAUUGGCAAUGUUUAGGUAUAAAUUUGUUGUCACAAUGAAUGCUACCAACGUCUAGUGGGUGGAGGCCGGGGGUGCGGCUCAGCAUCCUACCAGGUGUCGGACGGCCCCCACCACCGAGUGCCAGCCCCGAGGGCAGCCCAGGGUGCCCCAGUGGUGAGGAGCCCCGGUGUGGAGUGCAGGGUUCGUUUGGACCACGGCUGUAGAGGCCUAGGGGAGCUCCCGCCAUCAGGAUGGCCGGGCAUCAGGGCUCUGUGAGGGGGAAGGGGGCAUCAGUGCAGCGGCAGGCAGGGGUUCGACGGGCUGAGUCCUGCGACGUGUUGCAUCCACACCAGUGUCUGGGGCCAGCACCACCGCUCAGUCUCUGAACCCACUUAUUUCGCCCAAUAUUGCUUGAGUGGGAAGUUCCACCUUCCCCAGUCGGCUGCUUAUCUCGUCUUUCCAAUGCAGUUAGGAAGGGAAAAUAUUUUCUCCCCAUUUUACAGAUGAAGAAAUGGGGCCUGGCGAGGAGCAAAGCCCAGAACUGCUGCCCACCACCCUCCCUGCCUGGUGCUUUCCUGGGAACAUGUGGGAGCCCCUGCCUGGACCUUGGGACCUCCCAUCUGUAAUUGCAGGCCCUGGUCUGCCUGUAUGGAUGUGGAAUGUGUCACUCGGGAUCCUGGAGUCCUCCUGAGCUUGUCCAGCAGGGCUGCAUUCACUGAUGUGCUGACAGAGGCCUAGGCUCGGACCUCUAGGAAUAUCCAAGGCAUCUCAUUAUGCAGAAAACCACCCUCAUGAGGUCCUGGAGGCCUCUCUCCAUCUUCCUGGGGGUGAUGCAAUAGAGUGUAACUUCCAUGCUGCCGAGACAGGCCAUGAGGGGUUGCCCCCGUUGGAGGGGCAGAGUGGUAUUUGUGGGGUGGUAGGAAUCAUUCAAUGCCCAGCUGCAACCCCCCGGGCUCACAGCACACUCUUAAGGCCAGUGCUACCAGCUCCCUUGGGUGGAUAGAGGAGCUACGGCUCAGAAGCAUGCCCACAGCUCCCCCAGGACCCUGAGGCCAGCCUGUGGCAGGGCCUGUGAUUUGAACCCCUCUACAAGGCUUCAAAUCAGUGCUGUUUGUCCUGGCCUCAUAAAACCUGGCUGCCCAGUUGGGAUUGGUGUCAUCUGCCUUGCUGAACUGGGCACUCCUUGGGAAGAGGGUGGGUGCUGCGAGAAGGCGGUGGAUCCUGGCUGUGCAACCUUCGCAGGUGGCUGAACCUCUCUGUGUCUCAGUUUGCUCAUCUGCAAAGGGGGCUGGGAUUCCUGCCUACAUGCAUGUGCUCAAGAGGGAAAGCCAGCCAGGCAUGGUGGCUCAUGCCUGUAAUCCCAGCACUUUGGGAGGCUGAGGUGGGC
rnacentral:lncRNA from 1 species